rnacentral:rRNA from 1 species
GAUGAACGCUGGCGGCGUGCCUAAUACAUGCAAGUCGAGCGAACAGACUAGGCGCUUGCUCCUCUGACGUUAGCGGCGGUCGGGUGAGUAACACGUGGAUAACCUACCUAUAAGCCUGGGAUAUCUUCGGGAAACCGGAGCUAAUACCGGAUAUCAUGUUGCACCGCAUGGUUCAACAGUGAAAGACGGUCUUGCUGUCACUUAUAGAUGGAUCCGCGCCGCAUUAGCUAGUUGGUAAGGUAACGGCUUACGAAGGCAACGAUGCGUAGCCGACCUGAGAGGGUGAUCGGCCACACUGGAACUGAGACACGGUCCAGACUCCUACGGGAGGCAGCAGAAGGGAAUCGUCCGCAAUGGGCGAAAGCCUGACGGAGCAACGCCGCGGGAGUGAAGAAGGUCUUCGGAUCGUAAAACUCUGUUAUUAGGGAAGAACAAAUGUGUAAGUAACUAUGCACGUCUUGACGGUACCGAAGCAGAAAGCCACGGCUAACUACGUG